rnacentral:tRNA from 2 species
AAUUUAAGUAGUUUAAUUAAAAUAUAGAUUUGUGGAUUCUAAGAUGUGUGUAACCUUAAAUUU